rnacentral:rRNA from 1 species
AGAGUUUGAUCAUGGCUCAGGACGAACGCUGGCGGCGUGCUUAAUACAUGCAAGUCGAACGGGGUCCAACCGGUGGCAACACUGGUGAAGACCUAGUGGCGAACGGGUGAGUAGCACGUGAGCAACCUGCCCCGAAGACUGGGAUAACACCGGGAAACCGGUGCUAAUACCGGAUGCCCCCACCAGGCCGCAUGGUCGGGUGAGGAAAGGAUUCUGCUUCGGGAGGGGCUCGCGGCCUAUCAUGCUUGUUGGUGAGGUAACGGCUCACCAAGGCUCCGACGGGUAGCUGGUCUGAGAGGACGAUCAGCCACACUAGGACUGAGACACGGCCCAGACUCCUACGGGAGGCAGCAGUAGGGAAUCUUGCGCAAUGGGCGAAAGCCUGACGCAGCAACGCCGCGUGAGGGACGAAGGCUUUCUGAGUUGUAAACCUCUUUCAGCAGGAACGAUGAUGACGGUACCUGCAGAAGAAGCUCCGGCCAACUACGUGCCAGCCGCCGCGGUAAUAC